AAAAGUCAUGUAUGCUGGCAUGUUUAUGUUCUUCUUUAUCGGUCCAAUAGAGAAUACAGGGAGGCAAUCAAAUGCUAUAGAAAUGCACUGAGGAUCGAUCCAGACAAUAUUGAAAUUUUGUAGGAUCUGUCACUGUUACAGGCGCAAAUGCGAGAUUUGGCAGGGUUUGUCGAGACAAAACAACAGCUCUUGUCUCUAAAAUCAAAUCAUCGUAUGAAUUGGAUCGGCUUUGCUGUUGCUCAUCAUUUAAACUCAAAUGCUUUAAAAGCAGUUGAAAUUCUGGAAGCAUAUGAAGGGACACUAGAAGAUGAUUUUCCUCCUGAUAAUGAAUGUUGUGAACAUGGGGAAAUGCUUUUGUAUAAGGUAUUCUAAGUGGUAUCUUCUGUAUAUUGUUUCUUAUGUUAUAUAUUAAUGUAGAUCUUAUAGGUGACUAGCUGUCUAUUAUGUUGAUUUUUAGGCUUGUUUUUUUAUAUGGGUUUUAGUUAUUGUUAGGUUUUGUAGUUGUCUAGAAGUUUUGUGUGUAUUGGAGAUGUUACUCAUCCUGGAAAGGUAUGCUCCUCAUUCUUCUUGAUUGUUUUACACAUUAAUUUUUUGAUUUUUUUAGGACCUAAGAAAAUAUUAGUUCUGUAAGUUUAAGUUAUGCUUUGUCACACUGUUUUCCAAGUAGACAUUCUUGAGGAACUUAUUAUUGAGCUGGAGCAUGCUGUUAGGACUUCUAGUCAAUUCCCUGGAAGGUCAGAGAAAGAACCUCCUUCAACUCUUAUGUGGACCUUAUUCCUAUUAGCACAGCAUUACGACAGAAGGGGACAAUAUGAAAUCGCUCUUUCUAAAAUUGAUGAGGCCAUUGAGCACACCCCAACCGUGAUUGAUUUAUACUCGGGCAAGGUUGGUUAGGAUUCUUAAUGAAAGUUUUUUUAAUGUAAAUGUUUUCUGUAAUAAGUUUUAUGGAUUUUUUUCUUAAUAUAAUCUUAUCAUUUUU